CUACGUGCCAGCAGCCGCGGUAAUACGUAGGGGGCAAGCGUUAUCCGGAUUUACUGGGUGUAAAGGGAGCGUAGACGGAAUGGCAAGUCUGAAGUGAAAUACCCGGGCUCAMCCUGGGAACUGCUUUGGAAACUGUUGUUCUAGAGUGUUGGAGAGGUAAGUGGAAUUCCUGGUGUAGCGGUGAAAUGCGUAGAUAUCAGGAAGAACACCGGAGGCGAAGGCGGCUUACUGGACAAUAACUGACGUUGAGGCUCGAAAGCGUGGGGAUCAAACAGGAUUAGAUACCCUGGUAGUCCACGCUGUAAACGAUGAAUACUAGGUGUCGGGGUGCAAAGCAUCUCGGUGCCGUCGCUAACGCAAUAAGUAUUCCACCUGGGGAGUACGUUCGCAAGGUUAAAACUCAAAUGAAUUGACGGGGGCCCGCACAAGCGGAGGAACAUGUGGUUUAAUUCGAUGAUACGCGAGGAACCUUACCCGGGAUUGAA
rnacentral:rRNA from 1 species